rnacentral:rRNA from 1 species
UACGUAGGGGGCAAGCGUUGUCCGGAAUCAUUGGGCGUAAAGAGCGUGUAGGCGGUCCGGUAAGUCCGCUGUGAAAGUCGGGGCUCAACCCUCGAAUGCCGGUGGAUACUGUCGGGCUAGAGUGCGGAAGAGGCGAGUGGAAUUCCUGGUGUAGCGGUGAAAUGCGCAGAUAUCAGGAGGAACACCUAUUGCGAAGGCAGCUCGCUGGGACGUAACUGACGCUGAGACGCGAAAGCGUGGGGAGCAAACGGG